rnacentral:rRNA from 1 species
GACGAACGCUGGCGGCGUGCUUAACACAUGCAAGUCGAACGGGAUAAUUUGAGAGCUUGCUCUUAGAGCAUCUAGUGGCAAACGGGUGAGUAACACGUAGACAACCUGCCGACAGGAUGGGGACAACAUUCCGAAAGGAAUGCUAAUACCGAAUGAAGCGGAGGAGAGGCAUCUCUCCUCCGUGAAAGAUGGCCUCUGAAUAUGCUAUCACCUGUCGAUGGGUCUGCGUCUGAUUAGCUAGUUGGUGAGGUAACGGCUCACCAAGGCGACGAUCAGUAGCCGGUCUGAGAGGAUGAACGGCCACAUUGGGACUGAGACACGGCCCAGACUCCUACGGGAGGCAGCAGUGGGGAAUCUUCCGCAAUGGGCGCAAGCCUGACGGAGCAACGCCGCGUGAGUGAAGAAGGUCUUCGGAUCGUAAAGCUCUGUUGACGGGGACGAACGUGCGAAGGGUGAAUAAUCCUUUGUAAUGACGGUACCUGUCGAGGAAGCCACGGCUAACUACGUG